ensembl:lncRNA
UGUCCAUGAGGCCACAGCCUCCCUCUAAGCCCAGGUCAGAGAGGCCGGCAACAGGGACCAGGACGUUGGUACACAAGAGCAAGCAGGAGUCAGAUCAGGUGUCUACCUCAGAGAAGGAGGCUAAAAGGCACGUCCAUAGGUCAGACUACCACAGCAGAGCUCUGAGCUCAGACAGCACCCACGAGAGCAGGAACAGUGAGGACUCGGGCUCCGACCAACACCAUGAGAGCACCCCGCGGAAGGUCAAAAAAAAGAAAAGAAGGAAACAUAAAGACAGGUCUACACCUAAAUCGAGUAUGUCCACUGAUAAUAGAAUCUCAAAGAGCCUGAGGAGCACCACGUUCCCCAGCUGUGUCAAGUCUACCACAGAGCUGCUGGAUGAGGCCCGAGGCAUCGUUGGGGCCACGGGAUCAGAGGACCAGGAGGAGAGAGAGCCAGAGGAGUCAGAGGUCAUGGCCAUGGGAUGUGUCAGAGGCAGUGUGACGACAGUAGAUGAAAUAAUUGCCUCCUUACAGAGAGGGUACAGUGAUUUGCCAUCUGCCUCCGAUCAGAUGAUGAAGGAGCUGAUGGAGAGAGUGCUGGGGGACAGCUACAAUGCAGACAAUGAGGAAGAGAAAACAGAGGAAACCAAAUCUGACACAUCCAAAAAGAAAGAAGACAAAAUUUGCAGUGUACAAAAACAGGGGACUCCUCAGAGGUACCUGGGUCCACCGAGGAUGAUGUCGGUUAACACACCAACCCCUCCAAGACCUGAUGAGUACCCUAAAGUCACAUCAGGGGUCUACAAGAUGGCAAACUCACUGUCAGAGAGAGAGACAGACAAAAAUGAUUCUACAACAUUUGCUCUGUCACAGAAGGUGACUUAUACAGAUUCAAUUACGGCUGAAGGAUAUUCCAUUGCUCCUUCUCAGAGACAAAGGAAAGUGUCUUCACAAAGGAAAACCAUUCAAGGCCUUUCCCUUCUUGCAACAUGGACCCCAAAAACACAUGCAGAUGAUUACAAAACCAUUCACCACCUCUGUACCAUGCCAGUCAGACAGGCCCUGCCUGUGGAGCUACAGCUGGCUUCCCAAGUCUGUCACACCUCCAGCCUACUCACUGCACAGCCACAGUUUCACCAACAGAG